GACGAACGCUGGCGGCGUGCUUAACACAUGCCAGUCGAACGGAAAGGCCCUGCUUUUGUGGGGUGCUCGAGUGGCGAACGGGUGAGUAACACGUGAGUAACCUGCCCUUGACUUUGGGAUAACUUCAGGAAACUGGGGCUAAUACCGGAUAGGAGCUCCUGCUGCAUGGUGGGGGUUGGAAAGUUUCGGCGGUUGGGGAUGGACUCGCGGCUUAUCAGCUUGUUGGUGGGGUAGUGGCUUACCAAGGCUUUGACGGGUAGCCGGCCUGAGAGGGUGACCGGCGACAUUGGGACUGAGGUACGGCCCAGACUCCUACGGGAGGCAGCAGUGGGGAAUAUUGCACAAUGGGCGGAAGCCUGAUGCAGCAACGCCGCGUGCGGGAUGACGGCCUUCGGGUUGUAAACCGCUUUCGCCUGUGACGAAGCGUGAGUGACGGUAAUGGGUAAAGAAGCACCGGCUAACUACGUG
rnacentral:rRNA from 1 species